AGAGUGAACGCUGGCGGCAGGCCUAACACAUGCAAGUCGAACGGCAGCGGGUCGUAGCAAUACGAUGCCGGCGAGUGGCGGACGGGUGAGGAAUACAUCGGAAUCUACCUUGUCGUGGGGGAUAACGUAGGGAAACUUACGCUAAUACCGCAUACGAACUAUGGUUGAAAGCGGCGGACCGCAAGGCGUCGCGCGAUUGGAUGAGCCGAUGUCCGAUUAGCUAGUUGGCGGGUAAAGCCCACCAAGGCGACGAUCGGUAGCUGGUCUGAGAGGAUGAUCAGCCACACUGGAACUGAGACACGGUCCAGACUCCUACGGGAGGCAGCAGUGGGGAAUAGUUGGACAAUGGGCGCAAGCCUGAUCCAGCCAUGCCGCGUGUGUGAAGAAGGCCUUGGUUGUAAGCACGUUUUGUUGGGAAGAAAGCACGUGGUUAAUACCCUGGUGUUCUGACGGUACCAAAGAA
rnacentral:rRNA from 1 species